CGGAGGGUGCAAGCGUUAUCCGGAUUCACUGGGUUUAAAGGGUGCGUAGGCGGGCAGGUAAGUCCGUGGUGAAGUCUCCGAGCUUAACUCGGAAACUGCCAUGGAUACUAUUUGUCUUGAAUGUUGUGGAGGUAAGCGGAAUAUGUCAUGUAGCGGUGAAAUGCUUAGAUAUGACAUAGAACACCAAUUGCGAAGGCAGCUUGCUACACAAAUAUUGACGCUGAGGCACGAAAGCGUGGGGAUCAAACAGGAUUAGACACCCUGGUAGUCCACGCCCUAAACGAUGAUUACUCGACAUCAGCGAUACACUGUUGGUGUCUGAGCGAAAGCAUUAAGUAAUCCACCUGGGAAGUACGAUCGCAAGAUUG
rnacentral:rRNA from 1 species